rnacentral:rRNA from 1 species
UACGGGGGGGGCAAGCGUUGUUCGGAAUUACUGGGCGUAAAGGGCUCGUAGGCGGCCAACUAAGUCAGACGUGAAAUCCCUCGGCUUAACCGGGGAACUGCGUCUGAUACUGGAUGGCUUGAGAUUGGGAGAGGGAUGCGGAAUUCCAGGUGUAGCGGUGAAAUGCGCAGAUAUCAGGAGGAACACCGGUGGCGAAGGCGGGUCUCUGGGCCGAUACUGACGCUGAGGAGCGAAAGCGUGGGGAGCAAACAGG